AGCCGCCUGAGGGGACUCGCCCGGGGCCCGCCCUCAGAGCUCACACCCGCCGUGCGCUCUCGCCCCGGGGCCGCCCCGCCGAUCCUCCCCCGCGGCUCUGCGCGCACAGGCCGGACGCUCGGAGCCGGCGCCGGACCCCCCUGCUCGGCCUCCUGGGCGCACCAGCGGCCUCCGCGCAGGCUCCGUGCCCGCGCACGCGCCCUCGCGUCGCGCUCCUGGAGGAGAGACCUGCGCUCGGGCCGGGCUCCGGGCGGUUCUCGAGCUGCAGUUCCAACGGGACUUCCGCGGCCUUUUGGACGAGCCGCCGCGCCCAGAGAUGUUCAGGUUGGAGCGACACUUCCCAGAGGGCAGCGGUCACUCCAGAUCUUCGGCUUCCAUUUCCGUUUUCGCGCGGUUCUCCCUCUUUGCAGGCUGCUUGGCUGCAAGAGGGAAGUAGGACAUUGAGCCCUAAAGGAAGAUUUCCAGCCAGGGGGCACCGAGGUAAAGUAAACCCUGAAUAGGAAUAGAUGCAUCGAAGGCCACUAGGGAGAUUCAGAUAAUGUGACUUGGUGUUUUAUAAGGCAGUGAUGUCAUUCUGACUGCAGCCACCACUGUCGGGUUGUGAUUAAACUCUGAUCACCUAUGAGAGCACCGUGAUGCUCUAGAUUCUCUUUGUUCUUUCCCAGUAGAGGAAUCCCAAGGAGGACUGAUCUGUUUUGGCAGGUGCAAAACCAUGGAGUGAAAUCAUACAGUAUUUCUUUCUCCGUCUGACUGUUUUUGCUCAAGAUCCAUCCAUCUUGUCUCACAUGGGAUGAGUUUGUCUGUUUUUAUGGGU
rnacentral:lncRNA from 1 species